rnacentral:rRNA from 1 species
AUUGAACGCUGGCGGCAGGCCUAACACAUGCAAGUCGAGCGAGCGGCGGACGGGUGAGUAAUGUAUGGGGACUGCCCGAUAGAGGGGGAUCACUACGGGAAACGGUGGCUAAUAACGCAUACUAGCGGAUAACCCAUAUGGGAUUAGCUAGUAGGUGGGGUAAAGGCUCACCUAGGCGACGAUCUGUAGCUGGUCUGAGAGGAUGCUCAGCCACACUGGAAUGGAGACACGGCCCAGACUCCUACGGAGGCAGCAGUGUGGAAUAUUGCACAAUGGGCGCAAGCCUGAUGCAGCCAUGCCGCGUGUAUGAAGAAGGCCUUAGGGUUGUAAAGUACUUUCAGCGGGGAGGCGUUACCCGCAGAAGAAGCACCGGCUAACUCCGUGCCAGCAGCCGCGGUAAUAC